rnacentral:rRNA from 1 species
AGAGUUUGAUCCUGGCUCAGGAUGAACGCUGCGGCGUGCCUAACACAUGCAAGUCGUACGAGCUCGAUCUUCGAACGGGUUAGUGGCGCACGGGUGAGUAACACGUAGGUGACUACCCCAGAGUGGGGGAUAACUUCUCGAAAGAGAGGCUAAUACCGCAUACACUCGGUCAUUCAUUUGGCCGAGCAAAGCUCUGGCGCUUUGGGACGGGCCUGCGUCCGAUUAGCUAGUUGGUAGGGUAAUGGCUUACCAAGGCUUUGAUCGGUAGCUGGUCUGAGAGGACGAUCAGCCACACUGGCACUGACACACGGGCCAGACUCCUACGGGAGGCAGCAGUGAGGAAUAUUGGGCAAUGGGCGAAAGCCUGACCCAGCAACGCCGCGUGAGGGAUGAGGGCCUUCGGGUUGUAAACCUCUUUUCUGGGAGAAGAGACAAGGACGGUAUCCCAGGAAUAAGUCUCGGCUAACUACGUG